rnacentral:rRNA from 2 species
CAAAGAUCAAUGCGAACGUAGGGUACAUUGAAUCCCAUUUCGAACUUGGAAGUUAAGCUCUCCAUCGUCGAUGAUACUGCAUAACGUCAUGUGGGAAACUAAAGAAAAAUUGCCGUGCC